rnacentral:rRNA from 1 species
AGCGAACGCUGGCGGCAGGCCUAACACAUGCAAGUCGAACGGAUCCUUCGGGAUUAGUGGCGGACGGGUGAGUAACACGUGGGAACGUGCCCUUUGGUUCGGAACAACUCAGGGAAACUUGAGCUAAUACCGGAUAAGCCUUUCGAGGGAAAGAUUUAUCGCCAUUGGAGCGGCCCGCGUAGGAUUAGCUAGUUGGUGGGGUAAAGGCCACCAAGGCUACGAUCCUUAGCUGGUCUGAGAGGANGAUCAGCCACAUUGGGACUGAGACACGGCCCAAACUCCUACGGGAGGCAGCAGUGGGGAAUCUUGCGGCAAUGGGCGGAAAGACCUGACGCAGCCAUGCCGCGUGAAUGAUGAAGGUCUUA